CCUACGGGAGGCAGCAGUGAGGAAUAUUGGUCAAUGGGCGCGAGCCUGAACCAGCCAAGUAGCGUGAAGGAUGACUGCCCUACGGGUUGUAAACUUCUUUUAUAAAGGAAUAAAGUCAGGCACGUGUGCCUUUUUGUAUGUACUUUAUGAAUAAGGAUCGGCUAACUCCGUGCCAGCAGCCGCGGUAAUACGGAGGAUCCGAGCGUUAUCCGGAUUUAUUGGGUUUAAAGGGAGCGUAGGUGGUCUGUUAAGUCAGUUGUGAAAGUUUGCGGCUCAACCGUAGAAUUGCCAUUGAUACUGGCCGUCUUGAGUGCAGUUGAGGUAGGCGGAAUUCGUGGUGUAGCGGUGAAAUGCUUAGAUAUCACGAAGAACUCCGAUUGCGAAGGCAGCUUACUAACCUGCCACUGACGUUGAUGCACGAAAGUGUGGGUAUCAAACAGGAUUAGAUACCCCGGUAGUC
rnacentral:rRNA from 1 species